rnacentral:lncRNA from 1 species
AAUGUACUGUGAACCCCAAGUGUGAGAAUCAUUUUAUCUUUCUUUGGCAGGGCAGUCGUGCACCCCUGGACUCCUAUACUAUAGGAGACAGACACUGCUGGGUGGUGAAGCUGGGACUCAGCAAGGGCAUGGUGACCAUGGAGUCCGUGAAGCCCCUCCCACCUGCUCCUUCUCAGAGUGUCAGGCUCUGGGCAGGGUUCACCUGCUACCAGAUAUCUGAAGGCAGAGAUUCCAGGCCUGUGUUGUCCUGGGCACCCCAUGGCUGAAGACUCCAGACCUUUCCAUGUUGAAGAAGACUCAGUUUCUUCAAGACUCAGUCUCAGUCCAGAGAAACAACAUCCAAUAUUAAAAACAUGAACCUUAGUUGUGGUGGUUUGAGUAAGAAUGUCUUCAUAGACUAAUGUAUUUGAAUUCUUGGUCAUCAGGGAGUGACAUUAUUAGGAGGCGUGGCUUUGAUAGAGUAGGUGUGGACCUAUUGGAGGAAGUGUACCCCUGUGGAUGGGCACAGGGGUUUAAAAUGUUCAAGCUAGGCCCUAAGCUCUCUCCCUGCUGCUUGUCGAUCCAGAUGUAGAACUUGCAGCUCCCUCUAUAGCACUAUGUCUGUCUGCAUACUGACAUAUUUUCUACUCUGCUGAUGACGGACUGAACCGCUGAUCUGUAAGCCAGCUCCAAUGAAAUGUUGUCCUUUAUACAA